GGUUAAGCGACUAAGCGUACACGGUGGAUGCCCUGGCAGUCAGAGGCGAUGAAGGACGUGCUAAUCUGCGAAAAGCGUCGGUAAGGUGAUAUGAACCGUUACAGCCGGCGAUGUCCGAAUGGGGAAACCCAGUGCAAUUCGUUGCACUAUCGUUAACUGAAUACAUAGGUUAACGAGGCGAACCGGGGGAACUGAAACAUCUAAGUACCCCGAGGAAAAGAAAUCAACCGAGAUUCCCCCAGUAGCGGCGAGCGAACGGGGAGCAGCCCAGAGUCUGAAUCAGCUUGUGUGUUAGUGGAACGGUCUGGAAAGUCCGACGGUACAGGGUGAUAGUCCCGUACACCAAAAUGCACAGGCUGUGAACUCGAAGAGUAGGGCGGGACACGUGGUAUCCUGUCUGAAUAUGGGGGGACCAUCCUCCAAGGCUAAAUACUCCUGACUGACCGAUAGUGAACCAGUACCGUGAGGGAAAGGCGAAAAGAACCCCGGCGAGGGGAGUGAAAAAGAACCUGAAACCGUGUACGUACAAGCAGUGGGAGCACCUUCGGGUGUGACUGCGUACCUUUUGUAUAAUGGGUCAGCGACUUAUAUUCUGUAGCAAGGUUAACCGUAUAGGGGAGCCGCAGGGAAACCGAGUCUUAACUGGGCGUUAAGUUGCAGGGUAUAGACCCGAAACCCGGUGAUCUAGCCAUGGGCAGGUUGAAGGUUGGGUAACACUAACUGGAGGACCGAACCGACUAAUGUUGAAAAAUUAGCGGAUGACUUGUGGCUGGGGGUGAAAGGCCAAUCAAACCGGGAGAUAGCUGGUUCUCCCCGAAAGCUAUUUAGGUAGCGCCUCGUGAAUUCAUCUUCGGGGGUAGAGCACUGUUUCGGCUAGGGGGUCAUCCCGACUUACCAACCCGAUGCAAACUACGAAUACCGAAGAAUGUUAUCACGGGAGACACACGGCGGGUGCUAACGUCCGUCGUGAAGAGGGAAACAACCCAGACCGCCAGCUAAGGUCCCAAAGUCAUGGUUAAGUGGGAAACGAUGUGGGAAGGCACAGACAGCCAGGAUGUUGGCUUAGAAGCAGCCAUCAUUUAAAGAAAGCGUAAUAGCUCACUGGUCGAGUCGGCCUGCGCGGAAGAUGUAACGGGGCUAAACCAUGCACCGAAGCUGCGGCAGCGACACUAUGUGUUGUUGGGUAGGGGAGCGUUCUGUAAGCCUGCGAAGGUGACCUGUGAGGGUUGCUGGAGGUAUCAGAAGUGCGAAUGCUGACAUAAGUAACGAUAAAGCGGGUGAAAAGCCCGCUCGCCGGAAGACCAAGGGUUCCUGUCCAACGUUAAUCGGGGCAGGGUGAGUCGACCCCUAAGGCGAGGCCGAAAGGCGUAGUCGAUGGGAAACAGGUUAAUAUUCCUGUACUUGGUGUUACUGCGAAGGGGGGACGGAGAAGGCUAUGUUAGCCGGGCGACGGUUGUCCCGGUUUAAGCAUGUAGGCUGGUUAUCCAGGCAAAUCCGGAUAAUCAAGGCUGAGGUGUGAUGACGAGGCACUACGGUGCUGAAGUAACAAAUGCCCUGCUUCCAGGAAAAGCCUCUAAGCAUCAGGUAACAUCAAAUCGUACCCCAAACCGACACAGGUGGUCAGGUAGAGAAUACCAAGGCGCUUGAGAGAACUCGGGUGAAGGAACUAGGCAAAAUGGUGCCGUAACUUCGGGAGAAGGCACGCUGGUGUGUAGGUGAAGUCCCUGCGGAUGGAGCUGAGACCAGUCGAAGAUACCAGCUGGCUGCAACUGUUUAUUAAAAACACAGCACUGUGCAAACACGAAAGUGGACGUAUACGGUGUGACGCCUGCCCGGUGCCGGAAGGUUAAUUGAUGGGGUUAUCCGUAAGGAGAAGCUCUUGAUCGAAGCCCCGGUAAACGGCGGCCGUAACUAUAACGGUCCUAAGGUAGCGAAAUUCCUUGUCGGGUAAGUUCCGACCUGCACGAAUGGCGUAAUGAUGGCCAGGCUGUCUCCACCCGAGACUCAGUGAAAUUGAACUCGCUGUGAAGAUGCAGUGUACCCGCGGCAAGACGGAAAGACCCCGUGAACCUUUACUAUAGCUUGACACUGAACAUUGAGCCUUGAUGUGUAGGAUAGGUGGGAGGCUUUGAAGCGUGGACGCCAGUCUGCGUGGAGCCAACCUUGAAAUACCACCCUUUAAUGUUUGAUGUUCUAACGUUGGCCCCUUACCGGGGUUGCGGACAGUGUCUGGUGGGUAGUUUGACUGGGGCGGUCUCCUCCCAAAGCGUAACGGAGGAGCACGAAGGUUAGCUAAUCCUGGUCGGACAUCAGGAGGUUAGUGCAAUGGCAUAAGCUAGCUUGACUGCGAGCGUGACGGCGCGAGCAGGUGCGAAAGCAGGUCAUAGUGAUCCGGUGGUUCUGAAUGGAAGGGCCAUCGCUCAACGGAUAAAAGGUACUCCGGGGAUAACAGGCUGAUACCGCCCAAGAGUUCAUAUCGACGGCGGUGUUUGGCACCUCGAUGUCGGCUCAUCACAUCCUGGGGCUGAAGUAGGUCCCAAGGGUAUGGCUGUUCGCCAUUUAAAGUGGUACGCGAGCUGGGUUUAGAACGUCGUGAGACAGUUCGGUCCCUAUCUGCCGUGGGCGCUGGAGAAUUGAGGGGGGCUGCUCCUAGUACGAGAGGACCGGAGUGGACGCAUCACUGGUGUUCGGGUUGUCAUGCCAAUGGCACUGCCCGGUAGCUAAAUGCGGAAGAGAUAAGUGCUGAAAGCAUCUAAGCACGAAACUUGCCCCGAGAUGAGUUCUCCCUGAGACUAUAAGUCUCCUGAAGGAACGUUAAAGACGAUGACGUUGAUAGGCCGGGUGUGUAAGCGCAGCGAUGCGUUGAGCUAACCGGUACUAAUGAACCGUGAGGCUUAACCUU
rnacentral:rRNA from 1 species